UAUGUGAUCGUCUCUCGCAUAUCAAUAAGCGGAGGAAAAGAAACUAACAAGGAUUCCCCUAGUAACGGCGAGUGAAGCGGGAAGAGCUCAAAUUUGAAAUCUUAAAGGGUUUCCCUUUACGAAUUGUAGUUUAAAGAAGUGUUUUCUGUUGAGGUUUUGGUAAAAGUUCUUUGGAAUAGGACAUCAUAGAGGGUGAGAAUCCCGUAUUUGACCUUUACUUUCAACUUUGUGAUACACUUUCAAAGAGUCGGAUUGUUUGGGAAUGCAGUCCAAAAUGGGUGGUAAAUUUCAUCUAAAGCUAAAUAUUGGCGAGAGACCGAUAGCGAACAAGUACCGUGAGGGAAAGAUGAAAAGAACUUUGAAAAGAGAGUUAAACAGUACGUGAAAUUGUCAAAAGGGAAGCGUUUGACACCAGUGUUGUUUUUCUGAAAAUCAAUUAAAGAACUGUUUAUGCUAAGUUGUUUAGACUUUAUCAGCUAUCUGUUUAGUUUUGAGCUUUCUCCUUAAUGCACUUUUCAGUUAACAAGUCAACAUCAAUCUCUUUUGCUGUAAAAAAGCUUGAGGAAGGUGGCUUGAGAUUCGUCUUAAGUGUUUAUAGCCUCUUGCCUAUGCAGUCGGAGAGAUUGAGGUCUGCAGCGUAGAUCCUUCGGGGCUAAAUGCAUUUGUGCUAAGUUAUAGCAUUUUAUAGACAACUUGUUGACUAUGAUUUGUCUUGUAGCUUACUCGCUUAUGUUAUUUUACCUACGCUUAGGAUGUUGAAGUCAUCGUAUCGCGC
rnacentral:rRNA from 1 species